rnacentral:rRNA from 1 species
UACAGAGGUCCCAAGCGUUGUUCGGAUUCACUGGGCGUAAAGGGUGCGUAGGCGGUGAGAUAAGUCUGGUGUGAAAGCUCGGAGCUCAACUCCGAAAUGUCAUUGGAAACUAUCUCACUCGAGGUUUGGAGGGGGGACUGGAAUUCUCAGUGUAGCAGUGAAAUGCGUAGAUAUUGAGAGGAACACCAGUGGCGAAGGCGAGUCCCUGGACAAAUCCUGACGCUGAGGCACGAAAGCUAGGGGAGCAAACAGG